rnacentral:rRNA from 1 species
UACGUAGGGCGCAAGCGUUAUCCGGAAUUAUUGGGCGUAAAGAGCUCGUAGGCGGUUUGUCGCGUCGACUGUGAAAACCUGGGGCUUAACUCUGGGCCUGCAGUCGAUACGGGCAGACUUGAGUUCGGUAGGGGAGACUGGAAUUCCUGGUGUAGCGGUGAAAUGCGUAGAUAUGUGGAGGAACACCUGUGGCGAAGGCGCCUUGCUGGCCAAUUUCUGACGCUGAGGCGCGAAAGCGUGGGGAGCAAACAGG